rnacentral:rRNA from 1 species
AACGCUGGCGGCGUGCUUAACACAUGCAAGUCGAACAAGAAUUCUCGAAGCUUGCUCGAGAGAGUAAAGUGGCGAACGGAGUGAGUAACGCGUGGGUAACCUAUCCUUAAAUCUAGGAUAAUCUACCGAAAGGUGGCCUAAUACCGGAUACAAUCCCAAGAACCAUGGUUCUCGGGAUGAAAGCUGACCUCUUCACGAAAGUUGGCGUUUAAGGAGGGGCCCGCGUACCAUUAGCUUGUUGGUAGGGUAAAGGCCUACCAAGGCUACGAUGGUUAGCUGGUCUGAGAAGACGGCCAGCCACACUGGAACUGAAACACGGUCCAGACUCCUACGGGAGGCAGCAGUGAGGAAUCUUGCGCAAUGGGGAAAACCCUGACGCAGCGACGCCGCGUGAGUGAAGAAGGCCUUCGGGUCGUAAAGCUCUGUCAAGUGGGAAUAAAACUGUGCAUUUAAUAGGUGCAUGGUCUGAAGGUACCACUAAAGGAAGCACCGGCUAACUCCGUGCCAGCAGCCGCGGUAAUACGGAGGGUGCAGGCGUUAUUCGGAUUUAUUGGGCGUAAAGAGGGCGUAGGCGGUUUUUCAAGUCGAUUGUAAAAUCUCCCGGCUUAACUGGGAGGGGCCAGUCGAUACUGUUAGACUAGAGGGCAGCAGGGGGAGGUGGAAUUCCCGGUGUAGUGGUGAAAUGUGUAGAUAUCGGGAGGAACACCAGUGGCUAAAGCGGCCUCCAAGGCUGUUUCUGACGCUGAGGCCCGAAGGCGUGGGGAGCGAACAGGAUUAGAUACUCUGGUAGUCCACGCUGUAAACGAUGGAUACUAGGUAUGGGGGGUAUUGACCCCCUCCGUGCCGAAGCUAACGCGUUAAUUAUCCCGCCUGGGACUACGGCCGCAAGGCUAAAACUCAAAGGAAUUCGAACG